rnacentral:rRNA from 1 species
UACGUAGGGGGCAAGCGUUGUUCGGAAUUACUGGGCGUAAAGGGCGCGUAGGCGGCACAGCAAGCCGGGAGUGAAAGCCCGGGGCUCAACCCCGGAAUGGCUUUCGAAACUGCUGAGCUAGAGUACAGAAGGGGCAACCGGAAUUCCCAGUGUAGCGGUGAAAUGCGUAGAUAUUGGGAAGAACACCUGAGGCGAAGGCGGGUUGCUGGGCUGAUACUGACGCUGAGGCGCGAAAGCCAGGGGAGCAAACGGG